rnacentral:rRNA from 1 species
UACAGAGGUCUCAAGCGUUGUUCGGAUUCAUUGGGCGUAAAGGGUGCGUAGGCGGCGCGGUAAGUCGGGUGUGAAAUCUCCAAGCUUAACUUGGAAACUGCCGUUGAUACUAUAAAUCUUGAAUGUUGUGGAGGUGAGCGGAAUAUGUCAUGUAGCGGUGAAAUGCUUAGAUAUGACAUAGAACACCAAUUGCGAAGGCAGCUCACUACACAAAGAUUGACACUGAGGCACGAAAGCGUGGGGAUCAAACAGG